rnacentral:lncRNA from 1 species
CCGGAAGCCAACAAGGAAAUUGAAGUAUUUUAAUCACAAAAAUAUGGGGAAAACUAGUCGUUCCUGUAGAAUAGCCAAUAAGAAGUUGCAUGAAGCAAUUGUUGACUUAUCCCAUUUUCUCUUUUCAUGAUUCCUUUCCAUUAUCCAUAGUUUCUUAAAAGUAGGAAUUAUCAGCUGUAUUUUCAUGUAUUUAAACCCUU